rnacentral:rRNA from 1 species
UACGUAGGGUGCGAGCGUUUGUCCGGAAUUACUGGGCGUAAAGAGCUCGUAGGUGGUUUGUCGCGUUGUUCGUGAAAACUCACAGCUUAACUGUGGGCGUGCGGGCGAUACGGGCAGACUGGAGUACUGCAGGGGAGACUGGAAUUCCUGGUGUAGCGGUGGAAUGCGCAGAUAUCAGGAGGAACACCGGUGGCGAAGGCGGGGUCUCUGGGCAGUAACUGACGCUGAGGAGCGAAAGCGUGGGGAGCGAACAGG